CAAUUCCCCAUACACCCCUCUUUUCUCUUCUUUUCAUUUUCAUUUACAGAGCAUAAUCAUCACUCCCAGCUUCAUCCCUACCUCAAUUCAAACUUUAAAACACACACACACUCUCUCCCUGUUCGUCAAAGAUCUAGAUCUGGAUUUGGAUUUGGAUUUGGAUUUGAUCUCUCUUGGAGAUCCACCAUAAGUCACUGCUAUGGAGGAGGGCCGACCACCGUUCUGGCCACCUUCCCUCAUGCAGACGCAUGUAGAGGAGAACGGAGCGACAGAGCCCUAGACGCAGGUUCCUUAUAUCUCUUUGAAGUUUGAUGCUUAAAACAGAGAUAAAGAUUGAAUCAUCUGGUGUGAUGGAUAAAUUACAGAAAGAGAAGGACUGUAAACCAACAAGAUUCUCAUCGUCCACUUCCUCGGCUCAUGCUUCAUCUUAAUAAUAAUGUAUAAACAGGCUGCGUAUUUCUUGUCAGCUGUUUCUAUCGUGUUGCUUGGUUUCAGGCGUUAUGUUCUUUGCAUAUAGUAACUUUACUUCAGUAUUGUGCAGAAUGUAGUAAACCUGGGUUCCGUCGUUCUAGCUUUUGUUCGAAUCAACGCUUAGGGACUCCGGAGGAUGGUUAAGUUUCCGGUUGCGAAACCGACUCUGGUGGUCAUGAUCUGACGGCAAUCAUUCUUGUUUGACGAAUCAGUGUUGUUUUGCGUUCUUUGUCGCAUGGUGGAAGACUCAUCUAGCGUGGCAGUUCUUGAUACUGUAGCAGGAGUUUGGUGCGAUACAAAAUCUGUUGCGACGUCUCCAAGGAAGGACUAGUAGAUAUAGUGCUGAUGCUGCUGGCGGAGAUGCCGCGGUUGAAUUAACAAGGCAGUGUAGGCACGUGGCUGCUGCUGUAGGGGAUUUAAUUUUCAUUUACGGUGGUUUACGCAGAGGGGUAUUGUUAGAUGAUCUUUUAGUUGCUAAAGACAUGGCUGCUGCUGAAAUGACAUCAGCAGCGUCACAUGCAGCUGUUGUAGGUGUAGCCUCUAAUGCACAGGUAGGCGGGAGGCCACCUGGACGCUAUGGAUUUGUUGAAGACAGAACGAGGCAGCCAAAUUCUGAAACCGAUGCUGACGGUGCAGUCGUAUGUGGGGAUCCUGUUGCUCCGCCUACUAACGGUGACAUGUAUACAGAUCUCAGCACUGAGAAUGCCAUGCUCCCCAGCUCAAGAAACUGAGGAUCACAACUAACAAACAAACAUCCAUACCCAUGGGCGGAUAUAACGUAGAACACGCAGGGAUCAACGUAGAACGACAUUCUCCUAGAACAAAUCCCAGCCACAGUUACAAAAAAAUCUCGCUUCUGCCCCUAAUUUUUCUCAUAUUCUACGAGGUAUCCAGGGGCCCGUUUGGUGUCGAGGAUAGCGUUAAGGCAGCCAACCUGCUUUUAGCACUUAUCAGGUUCUUAGUCUUCCCAUUUAUAUGGAGUGUACCCGAAGCUUUAAUAACUGCCGAAAUGGGCACGAUGUUCCCGGAAGACGGUGGUUAUGUGGUUUGGGUGUCAUCUGCGUUAGGCCAGUAUUGGGGGUUUCAACAAGAUUGGAUGAAAUGGCUUAGUGGGAUCAUCGAUAACGUGUUAUACCCGUUUCUAUUUAUUGAUUAUUUGAAAUCGGGUUUCCCGGCUUUAGGGGACGGGUAUCCGCGAAUCCUAGCGGUAAUCGGUUUGACCAUUGCGUUGACUUACAUGUACUUUAGGGGCUUGACGAAUGUCGGGUGGGUUGCGGUUCUCUUAGGAGCAAAUAGAAAGUAACUGUCAUAAUUCAUGAAUCAAUAUUUAUCAUUAUGUUAGCUUCUUCAUAGGUCAAAUUUUCCGAGUUAUUUAGAUUAUGUCUAAAGAUGUAUGUAUUCAUAUAUGAUAUCAUUUACCUUAUUUUAGCCAGCUGAUCUAGACUAUUUCUUAGUUCAGAAUGGGCUGUUAAAAACUAAUUUGCUUACCUUUUUAAUAGCCUCCAACCUGAUAUGUUUUACUUGCAGCUGACUUGGAAUUGUCUGUUUUUCAUUGUCUGAUUAUUUAGUUAUAGCUAAUGGAAGUUACUAAAUAACGCAUCACCUUUUUUCUUUAUAUGUAGGCACAUCGAGGUGACCCUGACAACCCAUUGCAUGGGUUGAUGGGUAGCAUAGAACUUAUAUGGGGGCAGGUAAGGAAUGAAGUAUGGCAGGAGUCCUAGCAGGAGCCGAAGCUGAAGGAAAAGCUUGCAACACAGUAGGAGAUAUGAAUUGUGAAAAAGAAUAUUAUUAUUGUUACUCAGUAAUUCAAUUAAUUUUGGAGUUCCUUUUUUUGAGCAAAUCUUGGGAGCGCUUUAUGUAGUACCAUUGCUCAUGCCCAGGAACUGACCCGAACGAUAACAAAAAUGACCCGUUUUGACCUGAGCCGAUUUGAACUGAGCCAAUUUGACCCAUUAUUCUAUUCA